ensembl:snoRNA SNORA70 Small nucleolar RNA SNORA70
GAACAGACAGAUAUGGUGUGACCACCUGGUGUGUAACGGCUGGAAACAAUAGCCUCCUUGGUAAUGUACGCAGCCUGUUUCUAAGGGACCUUGGAGGCAGCC